GGCGUGCCUAAUACAUGCAAGUCGAGCGGAGAUUUGAAAAGCUUGCUUUUCAAAUCUUAGCGGCGGACGGGUGAGUAACACGUGGGCAACCUGCCCUUGAGACGGGGAUAACUCCGGGAAACCGGAGCUAAUACCGGAUAACACAUAUCUUCGCAUGAGGAUAUGUUAGAAGGUGGCUUUUAGCUACCACUCAAGGAUGGGCCCGCGGCGCAUUAGCUAGUUGGUGAGGUAACGGCUCACCAAGGCGACGAUGCGUAGCCGACCUGAGAGGGUGAUCGGCCACACUGGGACUGAGACACGGCCCAGACUCCUACGGGAGGCAGCAGUAGGGAAUCUUCCGCAAUGGACGAAAGUCUGACGGAGCAACGCCGCGUGAGUGAUGAAGGUUUUCGGAUCGUAAAGCUCUGUUGUUAGGGAAGAACAAGUACCUGUUAAAUAAGCAGGUACCUUGACGGUACCUAACCAGAAAGCCACGGCUAACUACGUGCCAGCAGCCGCGGUAAUACGUAGGUGGCAAGCGUUGUCCGGAAUUAUUGGGCGUAAAGCGCGCGCAGGCGGUUCCUUAAGUCUGAUGUGAAAGCCCACGGCUCAACCGUGGAGGGUCAUUGGAAACUGGGGAACUUGAGUGCAGAAGAGGAGAGCGGAAUUCCACGUGUAGCGGUGAAAUGCGUAGAGAUGUGGAGGAACACCAGUGGCGAAGGCGGCUCUCUGGUCUGUAACUGACGCUGAGGCGCGAAAGCGUGGGGGAGCGAACAGGAUUAGAUACCCUGGUAGUCCACGCCGUAAACGAUGAGUGCUAAGUGUUAGAGGGUUUCCGCCCUUU
rnacentral:rRNA from 2 species